UCUUCUUCCCUUUCUUCUAUUUCCUUUCUCCCUUUCCUCUGUUUUCAAUGCUAGGUUGUGGUUCUGCCAUAACAGGAAAUUGACAAGCUUUGCUCUUCUUGCAUAUUUCUGUCACUUGCAAACAAUCGGCCCACACCGCUCUUCUGAUAGCUUAGAGUUGGUUGUUUGAUGGGCUUUGGCCUUUAAUUUUAGAGCUACUUUCUGGGCCUCAAGUUUUUAUCUAUUCUAUGUGUUUGGACUUGUUGGUUAAUUACUG
rnacentral:misc_RNA from 1 species